AGCCGCCGCGGUAACACCGGCGGCCCGAGUGGUGAUCGUGAUUAUUGGGUCUAAAGGGUCCGUAGCCGGUUUGGUCAGUCCUCCGGGAAAUCUGAUAGCUCAACUAUUAGGCUUUCGGGGGAUACUGCCAGACUUGGAACCGGGAGAGGUAAGAGGUACUACAGGGGUAGGAGUGAAAUCUUGUAAUCCCUGUGGGACCACCUGUGGCGAAGGCGUCUUACCAGAACGGGUUCGACGGUGAGGGACGAAAGCUGGGGGCACGAACCGGAUUAGAUACCCGGGUAGUCCCAGCCGUAAACGAUGCUCGCUAGGUGUCAGGCAUGGCGCGACCGUGUCUGGUGCCGCAGGGAAGCCGUGAAGCGAGCCACCUGGGAAGUACGGCCGCAAGGCUGAAACUUAAAGGAAUUGGCGGGGGAGCACAACAACGGGUGGAAGCCUGCGGUUUAAUUGGACUCAACGCCGGACAACUCACCGGGGGCGACAGCAAUAUGUAGGCCAAGCUGAAGACUUUGCCUGAAUCGCUGAGAGGAGAGGUGCAUGG
rnacentral:rRNA from 1 species